rnacentral:rRNA from 1 species
GAUGAACGCUGGCGGUAUGCUUAACACAUGCAAGUCGAACGGGAUAUCUUCGGAUAUUUAGUGGCGGACGGGUGAGUAACGCGUGAGAACAUGCCCUUAGGUUCGGGACAACAGUUGGAAACGACUGCUAAUACCGAAUGUGCCGAGAGGUGAAAGAUUAAUUGCCUAGGGAUUGGCUCGCGUCAGAUUAGCUAGUUGGUAGAGUAACGGUUUACCAAGGCGACGAUCUGAACUGGUCUGAGAGGAUGACCAGUCACACUGGGACUGAGACACGGCCCAGACUCCUACGGGAGGCAGCAGUGGGAAUUUUCCGCAAUGGGCGAAAGCCUGACGGAGCAAUACCGCGUGAGGGAGGACGGCUCUUGGGUUGUAAACCUCUUUUAUCAGGGAAGAAGAUCUGACGGUACCUGAUGAAUCAGCAUCGGCUAACUCCGUGCCAGCCGCCGCUGUAAU